UACGGAGGAUCCGAGCGUUAUCCGGAUUUAUUGGGCGUAAAGAGCGUGUAGGCGGCUGGGUAGGUCCGUUGUGAAAACUCGAGGCUCAACCUCGAGACGCCGAUGGAAACCCUCCAGCUAGAGUCCGGAAGAGGAGAGUGGAAUUCCUGGUGUAUCGGUGAAAUGCGCAGAUAUCAGGAGGAAUACCAAAGGCGAAGGCAGUGUCCUGGCUGGCAUCUGACGCUGAGGCGCGAAAGCUAGGGGAGCGAACAGG
rnacentral:rRNA from 1 species